GAUGAACGCUGGCGGCGUGCCUAAUACAUGCAAGUCGAGCGAACGGACGAGAAGCUUGCUUUUCUGGUGUUAGCGGCGGACGGGUGAGUAACACGUGGAUAACCUACCUAUAAGACUGGGAUAACUUCGGGAAACCGGAGCUAAUACCGGAUAAUAUUUUGAACCGCAUGGUUCAAAAGUGAAAGACGGUCUUGCUGUCACUUAUAGAUGAAUCCGCGCUGCAUUAGCUAGUUGGUAAGGUAACGGCUUACCAAGGCAACGAUGCAUAGCCGACCUGAGAGGGUGAUCGGCCACACUGGAACUGAGACACGGUCCAGACUCCUACGGGAGGCAGCAGUAGGGAAUCUUCCGCAAUGGGCGAAAGCCUGACGGAGCAACGCCGCGUGAGUGAUGAAGGUCUUCGGAUCGUAAAACUCUGUUAUUAGGGAAGAACAUAUGUGUAAGUAACUGUGCACAUCUUGACGGUACCUAAUCAGAAAGCCACGGCUAACUACGUG
rnacentral:rRNA from 1 species